rnacentral:piRNA from 1 species
UGUACCUACACUUCUCUAUAUGUACAGAG